rnacentral:misc_RNA from 1 species
GUGACGGGGGCCCUUAUCAUAUCUCUCGUUGCUGGGUUAAUUGUCUGUAUUGACCUUAUGAACUUUCGCAAAAAGUUAAAACCUGUGCGUGUCAAAAUUGAAUAAUGAUAAGAAUGAAUAAGAAUAAGACCUACACCACUGUAUGUAUGCUGCAGGUGUGCGGCAAGUUUAUUUUAAAACAACUUUCUCGUUUAAUGCAGAUACAAUGUAAUCAAGUUUAGCUGAAAUAUAUCAGCAAGCAUUUCAGUAUUUGGGGCAAAUUUGCAGCAAUGCACGCUGUAUAUUUGUUGAAGGCAUUUUCUGAUAAAGGCUUCUAGAAAAUCAAACGGAAGUUCUAUAUGGAAUAAUAAAAACACUGAUAAAAAAUUUACACUUAUACCUGAUUUAUUAGGCGUACACGUACUUUUUGACUGUGAACAAAGACACUUGUUUAGGAUAACAAUUACUCAUGAUUUUGAUGAUGAUAAAGUUCAUUAUCGUGAAUUGAAUAAUUCUACAUUAUUUAAAUAUAUACUUUAUUAUGUAUUUUUUUGUAAUAUUUACAAGAUAUUAAAAACUUCUAGAUAAAG